CGCAUGGCGAUGGCUAACACAUGCAGUCGAGCGGAUGAAGGGAGCUUGCUCUUGGAUUCAGCGGCGGACGGGUGAGUAAUGCCUAGGAAUCUGCCUGGUAGUGGGGGAUAACGUCCGGAAACGGGCGCUAAUACCGCAUACGUCCUGAGGGAGAAAGUGGGGGAUCUUCGGACCUCACGCUAUCAGAUGAGCCUAGGUCGGAUUAGCUAGUUGGUGGGGUAAAGGCCUACCAAGGCGACGAUCCGUAACUGGUCUGAGAGGAUGAUCAGUCACACUGGAACUGAGACACGGUCCAGACUCCUACGGGAGGCAGCAGUGGGGAAUAUUGGACAAUGGGCGAAAGCCUGAUCCAGCCAUGCCGCGUGUGUGAAGAAAGGCCUUCGGAUUGUAAAGCACUUUAAGUUGGGGAGGAAGGACAGUAAGUUAAUUACCUUGCUGUUUUGACGUUCCCACCAGAAUAAGAACCGGCUAACUUCUUGCCACCAGCCGCGGUAAUACGAAGGGGGCAAGCGUUAAUCGGAAUUAUUGGGCGUAAAAAGCGCGUAGGUGGUUCACCAAGUUGGAUGUGAAAUCCCCGGGCUCAACCUGGGAACUGCUUCCAAAACUACUGAGCUAGAGUACGGUAGAGGGGGGUGGAUUUUCCUGUGUAGCGGUGAAAUGCGUAGAUAUAGGGAGGGAACACCAGUGGGGAAGACGACCCCCCUGGACUGAUACUGAUCCUGAGGGCGAAAGCGUGGGGAGCAAACAGGGAUUAAUAUACCCUUGUAGUCCACGCCGUAAAGAUGUCGACUAGCCGUUGGGACCCUGAGACAUAGUGGCGCCGCCUACGCGAUAAGUCGACCGCCCUGGGGAGUACGCCGCCAGGUUUAAAAUCAGAAAUUUAUCGGGAA
rnacentral:rRNA from 1 species